AUUGAACGCUGGCGGCGUGCUUAACACAUGCAAGUCGAUCGGUAACGCAGGGGCAACCCUGGCGACGAGAGGCGGACGGGUGAGGAACGCUUGGGAAUCUGCCUAUCAGCGGGGGACAACCCGGGGAAACUCGGGCUAAUACCGCAUACGCUCUACGGAGGAAAGCCGGGGACCGCAAGGCCUGGCACUGAUAGAUGAGCCCAAGUCGGAUUAGCUAGUUGGCGGGGUAACGGCCCACCAAGGCGACGAUCCGUAGCUGGUCUGAGAGGACGAACAGACACACUGGGACAGAGACACGGCACAGACUCCUACGGGAAGCAGCAGUGGGGAAUAGUGGACAAUGGGGGAAGCGCUGAUCCAGCGACGCCGCGUGGGUGAAGAAGGCCUGCGGGUUGUAAAGCCCUUUCGGUAGGGACGAAAGCUCUCGACCUAACACGUCGGGAGGUUGACUUAACCUACAAAAGAAGCACCGGCUAACUCUGUGCCAGAAGCCGCGGUAAAAC
rnacentral:rRNA from 1 species